rnacentral:rRNA from 1 species
AUUGAACGCUGGCGGAAUGCUUUACACAUGCAAGUCGAGCGGCAGCGCGGCCUUCGGGCUGGCGGCGAGCGGCGAACGGGUGAGUAAUGCAUCGGAACAUGCCCAGUCGUGGGGGAUAACACUUCGAAAGAAGUGCUAAUACCGCAUACGUCCUGAGGUGGAAAGCGGGGGAUCGCAAGACCUCGCGCGAUUGGAUUGGCCGAUGUCAGAUUAGCUAGUUGGUGGGGUAAAGGCCUACCAAGGCGACGAUCUGUAGCUGGUCUGAGAGGAUGAUCAGCCACACUGGGACUGAGACACGGCCCAGACUCCUACGGGAGGCAGCAGUGGGGAAUUUUGGACAAUGGGGGCAAGCCUGAUCCAGCCAUUCCGCGUGAGUGAAGAAGGCCUUCGGGUUGUAAAGCUCUUUCGGCAGGAACGAAACGGUGGGCUCUAACAUAGUCCGCUAAUGACGGUACCUGAAGAAGAAGCAACGGCUAACUACGUG